CCACUGUGAGGCAUGCCUAACAUUCUCUGUUCUAUGCGGUCUGAUUGGCCGCUGUGUAGCCCCGCCCAUCUGUACAGGCAGUGUCCGACAAUGUGAGAGAUGAGGCUGAGCUGCCUCUGCCUCAUCUCUAUCUCUCCCUGCAAUUGAAGGAGCCCUGAAAGUCUGGAAUCUUCCAGAAGGAGAGAGAAGAAGCAUGCAGUAAUGGCUGUCCAUAUAUACCUGUCUUGAUCAGCAUGUUAGUUUGUUUUAUGGUCUAUUUAGUUUCAUUAUAAAUAGGUAUUUAUCACAAGA